rnacentral:tRNA from 1 species
AUGGGUGUAGCUCAGUUGAAAGAGCGCGGCGUUUGGGACGCUGAGGCCGCAGGUUUGAGCCCUGUCACCCAUA